rnacentral:rRNA from 1 species
GAUGAACGCUUGCGGCGUGCCUAAUACAUGCAAGUCGAGCGAAUCGGGGACGGGUGAGUAACACGUGGAUAACCUCCUAUAAGACUGGGAUAACUUCUGGAAACCGGAGCCAAACCGGCUACUUAUAGAUGGAUCCACUCUGCAUUAGCUAGUUGGUAAGGUAACGGCUUACCAAGGCAACGAUGCAUAGCCGACCUGAGAGGGUGAUCGGCCACACUGGAACGGAGACACGGUCCAGACUCCUACGGGAGGCAGCAGUAGGGAAGCUUCCGCAAUGGGCGAAAGCCUGACGGAGCAACGCCGCGUGAGUGAUGAAGGUCUUCGGAUCGUAAAGCUCUGUUAUUAGGGAAGCGGUACCUAAUCAGAAAGCCACGGCUAACUACGUGCCAGCAGCCGCGGUAAUUC